AUGGGGUCAGGAUCACCCCAUACCCAUCCCAUCCCAUUAACCAUCCCCUAUACCCCAUAUCCAUCACAUCCCCCAUAUCCAUCCCAAUACCCCAUAUCCAUCUCUAUAUCUAAUGGGGUCGGGAUCACCCCAUAUCCAUCCCCGUACCCCAUAUCCAUCCCAAUACCCCAUAUCCAUCUCAAUAUCCCAUAUCCAUCCCAUCCCCCAUAUCCAUUCCAUACCCCAUAUCCAUUCCAUACCCCAUAUCCAUCCCAUUAUCUAAUGGGGUCGGGAUCACCCCAUAUCCAUCCCAAUCCCCCAUAUCCAUCCCAAUACCCAAUGGGAUCACCUCAUACCCCUCCAAUCCCAUUAACCAUCCCCUAUACCCCAUAUCCAUCCCAUACCCCAUAUCCAUCACAUACCCCAUAUCCAUCCCAGUAUCUAAUGGGGUCGGGAUCACCCCAUAUCCAUCCCAUACCCCAUAUCCAUCCCAAUACCCCAUAUCCAUCCCAAUACCCCAUAUCCAUCCCAUACCCCAUAUCCAUCCCAAUACCCCAUAUCCAUCCCAAUACCCCAUAUCCAUCCCAGUAUCUAAUGGGCUCUGGGAUCACCCCAUACCCAUCCCAUCCCAUUAACCAUCCCCUAUACCCCAUAUCCAUCCCAGUAUGUAAUGGGAUCACCCCUUAUAAUCCCACCCCAUAAACCAUCCCCUAUACCCCAUAUCCAUCCCAGUAUCUAAUGGGAUCACCCCACACCCAUCCCAUCCCAUUAACCAUCCCCUAUAUAUCCCCCAUAGUGACGCAUAUUCCCUAUAUCCAUCCCAUUAUCUAAUGGGGUCGGGAUCACCCCAUAUCCAUCCCAGUAUCUAAUGGGGUCUGAGAUCACCCCAUAUCCAUCCCAGUACCCCAUAUCCAUCCCAGUAUCUAAUGGGGUUGGGAUCACCCCAUAUCCAUCCCAAUACCCCAUAUCCAUCCCAAUACCCCAUAUGGGGUUGGGAUCACCCCAUAUCCAUCCCAUACCCCAUAUCCAUCCCAUUAUCUAAUGGGCUCACCCCAUAUAACCCCGCCCCAUAACCCCCCUAUACCCCAUACCCACCCCAUAACACCCCUAUACCCCCCAUAGUGCCCCACAUACCCCAUAUCCGCCCCAUAACCCCAUAUACCCCCCAUAGUGCCCCCUAUACCCCAUAUCCACCCCAUAACCCCCUAUACCCCAUAUCCACCCCAUAACCCCCAUAUACCCCCCAUAGUGCCCCCUAUACCCCAUAUCCACCCCAUUAACCCCCUCUAUACCCCAUACCCACCCCAUAACCCCAUAUUUACCCCCCAUAGUCCCCACAUUUUCGCCGUGACUCCGACUCGUCCGAGAUCCCGGAACCGUUCGCGGCCGAGGCCAAAUUCUACACGGAGUCGAGACGUUACAGAGAGGACGUACAUUUGAUCAUAAUGGAGAGCUGCCAUAACCAAGAACAUAGUGGGAACCAAUCCUACACCCUGUGAGUUAUGCGGAUAUAU
rnacentral:lncRNA from 1 species